UAUCGGAACGUGCCCAGUCGUGGGGGAUAACUGCUCGAAAGAGCAGCUAAUACCGCAUACGACCUGAGGGUGAAAGCGGGGGAUCGCAAGACCUCACGCGAUUGGAGCGGCCGAUAUCAGAUUAGGUAGUUGGUGAGGUAAAGGCUCACCAAGCCGACGAUCUGUAGCUGGUCUGAGAGGACGACCAGCCACACUGGGACUGAGACACGGCCCAG
rnacentral:rRNA from 1 species